rnacentral:rRNA from 1 species
CAUGGGGGAAGCCCUGAUCCAGCGACGCCGCGUGUGUGAAGAAGGCCUGCGGGUUGUAAAGCACUUUUAGUGGGGAUGAAAAGCUCAGGGCUAAUACCCCUGGGUCUUGACCUAACCCACAGAAAAAGCACCGGCUAACUCUGUGCCAGCAGCCGCGGUAAUACAGAGGGUGCAAGCGUUAAUCGGAAUUACUGGGCGUAAAGCGUGCGUAGACGGUCAUGUAAGUCGGGUGUGAAAGCCCCGGGCUCAACCUGGGAAUUGCAUUCGAGACUGCAUGGCUAGGGUGCGGAAGAGGGAAGCGGAAUUUCCGGUGUAGCGGUGAAAUGCGUAGAUAUCGGAAGGAACACCAGUGGCGAAAGCGGCUUCCUGGUCCAGCACCGGCGUUCAGGCACGAAAGCGUGGGGAGCAAACAGGAUUAGAUACCCUGGUAGUCCACGCCAUAAACGAUGAGAACUAGACGUUGAAGGGGUAAGCCCUGCAGUGUCGUAGCUAACGCGCUAAGUUCUCCGCCUGGGGUCGCGCAAGUGACUAUGA